CUCAGCUGGAUGCUUGGACUUAAACAAUCGUUGCGGAUGGAUUGGCACUAGAGGUGAUCGCCUCUAUGCUGCCGAGAUUUUCGAGUUUCUUAAGGUUUGCAAUCGAGGCAGGUGUGCAUUCUCCAUGCGGAUUCCUUAGUUAAUGCAGCUUUUCUAACAGUAAUUGAUUUGAUCAUUGGUAGUGGCAUCUGCUAUUUUUUUCUCGACUCUUGAUCUUUUGUAGGCAUCUAAUUUCAUUUUCACUUUUUUUUUUUUUUUUUUUUUUUUUUUUUUUAGCAAUUGAUAUGCAGGAGCCCUACUCUUCUCUGCUCAAAUUUGAGUACUGUUGGUCUUCGUUAUACUUUGAGUGUUGUACUGAUAACGGUUAAUAAUAGCGGUCAUUUCAGUUGUGUGAAGGAAUAUAUCUCCAGCAUUUUUUGAUGUCUCAUGUUUCUGGAAUGAUUGAUUAUUUUCUCGUGGCAGGUGUGGAGGUUUGCUAGAAAUAAAUAGAUAAAUCACAUCGAGGCAAAAGAGCAAACAGGCAAGUUACUAGGUGUUCAUGUCGUUCGUCCUGUUCAGAGAUCCUGGUGAUGUUUUAUACAAAAUUUGCAAUGUAAGUUCCCUCUCUUCUUCCCUUCCAGUGAUAGAUCUGUAAGUCUUUCAGCUUCUACUUGCUUUUUUUUUACUCAAGGCUGUUAGAUUGCAUUAACAUAUCGUUUAGAAUAAGUCGGAAUAUUUUCGCCUUGUGUUAGAAGGAUAGAUGAUGUUUGUUGGAGGCACUUGAAAUGGAUGAGGUGCGAGCCUUACUAGGUAUACCAACUGCAAUUGAUUCAGUGGAAUAAGCUAUGCCAUCUCCAAAGUCACUGCUGUUUGCCUCAGCUCUGCAUAAUUCAGAUGUUAGUCCCAGGUUAUUAUCCUCGAAAAUGUCUCUUAACAUGAAAAACUGGAAAGUAAAUAAGGAGCGUGCGCCACAGGCCUCCCAACAAUGUCGAAAUAUGAUAAAUUAUCCAUAAAAUAUUUUGGUUGAUAUGUGCUUGUAAAAGAGCCCUUUCCUUUCAGUAGCCAGUAAGCCUUGGAAUCAAACGAGACUGUGUUGUUGGAACAGGCUUUAAUUUUAAUAGAUUAACAGGAAGAUAAUAAAUGCAUCCAGUUCAACGUGAUGACAGAGUGUACAUUCGAAUCUGCAGUGGGGUAAGGUACUGAGACAGCUAAUUUGAGACAACAAACAGAUCUUCGCACAGUUGU
rnacentral:lncRNA from 1 species